GCCAUGCAUGUCAACGUUCAUACAGUAUAAAUGUGAGACUGCGGAAGGCUCAGUAUAUCAGUUAUAAUCUAUUUGAUUGUUUUCCCCAUUGGAUAACCGUGGGAAAUCUAGAGCUAAUACAUGCAGUUUAUUGGGGGGCCUCAAAAACCUCUCAAAGCAUUUAUUAGAUAAAAACCAACUAUAGGAGUGCACUUGUGUGCUUCUAUAAGGUGAGUCUAGAUAACUUUGCUGAUCGUAUGGCUUUAUGCCGGCGACGUUUCAAUUGAAUUUCUGCCCUAUCAACUUGUUGGUAAGGUAGAGGCUUACCAAGGUUACUACGGGUAACGGGGAAUCAGGGUUCGAUUCCGGAGAGGGAGCCUGAGAAAUGGCUACCACAUCCAAGGGAGGCAGCAGGCGCGCAAAUUACCCAAUCCAGAAUCUGGGAGGUGGUGACGAGAAAUACUAGAUGGUUUCCAUUUGGAUGCCAUACUGGAAUGGACGUAAUUUAAGCAUUUCGAUGAGUAGCAACUGGAGGGCAAGUCUGGUGCCAGCAGCCGCGGUAAUUCCAGCUCCAGUAGUGUAUCUUAAAGUUGCUGCGUUUAAAACGCUCGUAGUUGGAUUACGCAGCAUAGAUUAGUCGAUUGGCAUGAUGCCACAUUCAAUUCAAUUAGUUUUAUCAACUUCCAUGGUCUAUCCUGGUUGUAAAUGAAGCCGAUUGGAGUGGUGCGUGUCGAUUAACAGCUAGUUUAUGCUACUUUUUCGUGAGGAUGGCAGUUGACCUUUAAUGCGUUGAUCGUCGUGUCUCACGAAGUGUGCCUUGAAUAAAUCAGAGUGCUCAAAGCAGGCUUUAGCUUGAAUGUUGAUAGCAUGGAACGAACAAUUGUGUUAAACGUGUUUUAAGGAGGCCUUUGGAUGGAUUAUGUUCGUCCAGGGGUUCGCUUUUCAACACAGCACCAACCACCAUUAUCGGAUGUUGGUUUCCGUGAUGGGGUGAUGAUUAAAAGGAGCGGUUGGGGGCAUUGGUAUUUUGCCGCGAGAGGUGAAAUUCUUGGACCGGCAAAGGACUAACAAAUGCGAAGGCAUCUGUCAAGACCGUUUCCAUUAAUCAAGAACGAUAGUGAGAGGUUCGAAGACGAUCAGAUACCGUCCUAGUUCUCACUGUAAACUAUGCCGACCCGGGAUCAGUUUCGAGCUUAGAAAUGCUCGUGGUUGGUCCCCCUGGGAAACCUCAAGUUUUUAGGUUACGGGGGGAGUAUGGUUGCAAGGCUGAAACUUAAAGGAAUUGACGGAAGGGCACCACCAGGGGUGGAGCCUGCGGCUUAAUUUGACUCAACACGGGAAAACUCACCUGGUCCGGACAUCGAAAGGAUAGACAGACUGAUAGAUCUUUCUUGAUACGGUGGAUGGUGGUGCAUGGCCGUUCUUAGUUCGUGGAGUGAUCUGUCAGGUUGAUUCCGGUAACGGACGAGACCAUAAUCUCCAUUUAAGGAACCAGAGAAGGUUGCAGUUGAGCUAUUCGCGUAGUUUGGCUGUAACUAUUGGUAGGAUGUGCUUUACAUUUCAUUCAAUUGCAGUUGUAUGGACCAUUUCCGUGGAAAGUACUUUUGUAAUUGGAAGUUAUCAACGGGUAUUUCCUCCCUCUGGUCAAACAUCGUAGGGAUCACUCUCUGCGAUGUGCUAUGGAGAGACAACCAUAUAUAUUUUAGAAGUUGGAGGAAGCAUUUGGCGAUAACAGGUCUGUGAUGCCCUUAGAUGUCCAGGGCCGCACGCGCGCUACAAUGAUAGCAACAAUGAGCAUCUGGGUCGAAAGACUUGGGUAAUCUUGUCAAUUGCUAUCGUGAUGGGGAUUGAUCGUUGUAAUUAUCGGUCAUGAAAGAGGAAUCCCUAGUAUGCGUACUUCAUUAGAGUAUGCAGAUUAAGUCCCUGCCCUUUGUACACACCGCCCGUCGCUACUACCGAGUGAAUCGUGUCAUGAUGCCUUGGAACUGGACGUUUAUCGAGUGUUCAUUCAUUCGAAAUGAUGCUAGGAUC
rnacentral:rRNA from 1 species